AUGUGCGAUCCUAGAAGCACUAAUGCACAGGAAUCCAUUAGAAUUCCGCAGUUAAGCGUGCUUGGGCGAGAGUAGUACUAGGAUGGUUGACCUCCUGGGAAGUCCUCGUGUUGUACUAC
rnacentral:rRNA from 1 species